CUCGGGGAGCCCGCAGUGUCCCCGGGGACUGCAAGUCAGAAGCGUGCGGGUGGCGCUGGCCUGGACCCCGAGCCUCAGGGACCCCGCGUGCCGCGUGCCAGCGGCACCGGGAAGCCUGCGGCGGUCGGCGGGAUCCUGGCGCCGGUCUGCGGACUGGUCCUGAGAGCAAAAAGGGACCUUCACCAGCAACAUGUUUUGUGGAGAUAAGAGUUCUGGAAUAAAGUGAAUAUUUGACAUAAAUGAUGCACAAUAAUGUCAAGAUCAAAUAUUAAGAAAUGAUGAAGGGAAAGUGAACUCCAGUGAAGGACAAACAGGCAGAAGUCGCCAGCCAGAGGUAUCUUAUUAAAAUCUUAAUGAGCUGAACUGCUUACAGUGCAGGGAUAACAUUGUCCUCUAAUACUGUCUUCCAAUUAAUUAAAAGCAACAUCUUGCCUUAUGGCUGCCAAUUUUGAAGUUUUGGUUUUAUGUUGUUCUUGCUCGCAUUUUGAUCACUUCAACAAAAAAAAAAAACCAAAAUAAAGGAGAAUAUUUUUAGAAACUUGAAUAAAAAUGGUCAAACAAAAACAAUUAGAUAUCGUGUAAAGAAUGCAACAUUUUGCUGGACCA
rnacentral:lncRNA from 1 species